CAGUUGAGUGGUUUGGUAAACUUGAAAUUCAAGAAGACCUAAGUAAAUUUGUUUUUUGUGAGACAAAUUCUUGUAAAAUUUUCAUCUGAAAUUUCUACAUCCCAAGUUAAUAAAUUUACCGUUAACGUCACACAACAAUUUUGAAAAGAGCAAAAUUGAAUUGUCUCAUACACGGAAAAAGAAUAAUUAUGUUGGUGUGUUACAAGUUUUGAAAAAAUAAAAUCAAAGCUAUCUCUCAAAUUUUCGAAUGAGAUAUGACUAGAACAAAAAGAUAUUUUAUCGUUUCCGUUAACUAUAUCGAAAUGGUGUCCUAAAGCAGAAGGUGAAAUAAAUAGAUAAGCCAUAGCGUUUGAUCAAUAGUUUCAAAACAUAACAUAAUAACAAAAGAUAUGAAAGUCUGGAUAUGAAAAAAAAUAAAUAAAUAAAAAAAAAAAUAAAAAAAAAAA